rnacentral:lncRNA from 8 species
CAUCCUUGCAGACAUGAACCUUGACAACCUGUCUCACUCACGCCUGCCCAUAAAGAAACCACGGUGCUAGAAGAGAGACGUGUGUGGGAGGAUAUGAAGAAACUGUGUAAUGAUGUCAUAGUUGAGUAUGUGUCACAUAAGUGAAAAGUAUAUAAGCAGCAGUAAUGUUAAGUCGGACAACUGACACCCAGCACUUGACGACAGGAUCGACUCAACUCUGUUCGGAGUGAACCCAUUGACAGAUGCUAGGAAAGCUACUGAAGUCUCAUGGCAUCAUCAUUCGUCAGAGACAAAUUAACUGAGUGGAACCACAGUGACUUGAUUCAGAGGUUUGAAGAUGAAGAAGUCGAUGAAGAAGGUUUCCUCUCCCUUGAGGAGACUGACCUCAUCCACUUGAUCCCAAAAACAGGACCAAGGUCUAGAUUUAGAAAAAAUCACAACGCAUUUCUGAAGAAACGACAGCAAACCAAUGAUGACAAGAACAUUCAAGAGGCCACGUCUUUAUCAGCCUCCAUUAAGGACUCCAAGAGUUCCUCAGGAAAUGUUACUUGUGAGAUGAUCAAUCAAGUGCCUCGUCAAAAGGCCAUCAUAAAACCCCUCAGAAAUCAAACUUCUAAACGCUCAGAGAUUAAAACGUCAUUGGAUAAACCCUUUGGUACACUUGGAGGAAGUGUGCCCACAACUGACACCUCUGGAGUGGGAGAAACAGUGUAUGACCAGAGUGAACCCUCAACCAGUAAGAUACUCCCUCUUCCAGUGAAUAUCCCAGGCAAAAGGAAAUCUGAUGAGACCCAUGCAAACAAACAAACAAACAAACGUCAACAUGGUGCUGCAUCCAGAAUAACUGAAAUAUUUGGUAGGUGGAUGAUGGUGUUUAUAUGGACCACAAUCGUUUUAAUCCUUUACACUUGUGGGAAUUGACUUAUAUGGAUAGGACUUAAUUGAAAUGUUCUUACAGAAGAAAAAUGGAAAGCAUAUGCAUAACCAUGGUAGCAAUUAACUUCUUACAUCUAGUCGUUCCGCUAGCGGAACCCCGUUCCGCCAGCGGGACCCCUAGCCAACAGCCAAUGGGAUCGCAUGGCGCGAAAUACAAAAACAACUAAAAUACCACAAUUCAAUUUUCUCAAACAAUCAACUAUUUUACACCAUUUUAAAGAUAAGACUCUCGUUAACCUGUUAGGGCUAGGGGGCAGUAUUUACACGGCCGGAUAAAAAACGUACCCGAUUUAAUCUGGUUAUUACUACUGCCCAGAAACUAGAAUAUGCAUAUAAUUAUUGGCUUUGGAUAGAAACCACCCUAAAGUUUUUAAAACUGUUUGAAUGGUGUCUGUGAGUAUAACAGAACUCAUAUGGCAGGCAAAAACCUGAGAAGAUUCUGUACAGGAAGUGCCCUCUCUGACCAUUCCUUGAGCUUCUUGGCUCUGUUUAUUGAAAACUGAGGAUCUUUGCUGUAACGUGACACUUCCUACGGCUCCCAUAGGCUCUCAGAACCCGGGAAAAAGCUGAAUGAUGUAAUUCCAGCCUCUGGAUGAAAAACAUUACCGCCUUCGGUAAGUGCUCUAUCAGAGGACCAUCAGACUGAGGCUCGUGCCCGAGGGGAUACCAUGUUUUUAUUUUCUCUCUCUUUGAACGUAAACACGCUUUCCCGGUCGGAAUAUUAUCGCUUUUUUACGAGAAAAAUGGCAUAAAAAUUGAUUUUAAACAGCGGUUGACAUGCUUCGAAGUACGGUAAUGGAAUAUUUAGAAAUGUUUUGUCAAGAAACGCGUCAUGCGCGUCACCCUUCUUUACACUUCGGAUAGUGUCUUGAACGCACGAACAAAACAGAGGAUAUUUGAACAUAACUAUGGAUUAUUUUGAACCAAACCAACAUUUGUUAUUGAAGUAGAAGUCCUGGGAGUGCAUUCUGACGAAGAACAGCAAAGGUAUUAACAUUUUUCUUAUAGUAAAUCUGACUUUGGUGAGGGCUAAACUUGCCGGGUGUCUAAAUAGCUAGCCCUGUGAUGCCGGGCUAUCUACUGAGAAUAUUGCAAAAUGUGCUUUCACCGAAAAGCUAUUUUAAAAUCGGACAUAGCGAGUGCAUAGAGGAGUUCUGUAUCUAUAAUUCUUAAAAUAAUUGUUAUGUUUUUUGUGAACGUUUAUCAUGAGUAAUUAAGUAAAUUCACCGGAAGUUUGCGGGGGGUAUGCUAGUUCUGAACGUCACAUGCUAAUGUAAAAAGCUGGUUUUUGAUAUAAAUAUGAACUUGAUUGAACAAAACAUGCAUGUAUUGUAUAACAUAAUGUCCUAAGAUUGUCAUCUGAUGAAGAUCAUCAAAGGUUAGUGCUGCAUUUAGCUGUGGUUUGGGUUUAUGUGACAUUAUAUGCUAGCUUGAAAAAUGGGUGUCUGAUUAUUUCUGGCUGGGUACUCUGCUGACAUAAUCUAAUGUUUUGCUUUCGUUGUAAAGCCUUUUUGAAAUCGGACAGUGUGGUUAGAUUAACGAGAGUCUUGUCUUUAAAAUGGUGUAAAAUAGUAAUAUGUUUGAGAACUUGAAGUAAUAGCAUUUCUAAG